rnacentral:lncRNA from 1 species
UUGCAAUUGGGAACUCUUAGGGCAAUUAAAAAGGAGAAAACGAGUUGAGGAAGAGAGGGCUGCAAUUUAUAUAUUUAUAUAUACGAACUGAAAACGGAAGAGAAAAAAUGGAGGCUGGACGAAGGCUUCAUUGAAGACACAAAACGACAGAUUGAGUGGCAGAAUAAAAAACAAAGUUGGCCAGCUGCUGGGGGAUAUAUUGGAGGGCUGCAAGAGUGAUUUUUAUAUAUAAUACCCAAAGAAAUCAGCAGCUUGGAGGGUGGAAAUUGGAAUCCCUUUUGGGGAUGAAUAAUUCUCCCUGUCCCCAAUCCGGGACAGGGAGCAGGGUUGUUUGGGGAUUAUUCAUAUACACAAGUCAGCAUAUUGGAGGCUGGAAAUUAAGUGAUAAACAAGUAAAAUCAGCGGCUAUUUUUAGGAAAAAAAAAAAGGGACAGCAAGACAUUUACAUGCACAGAAAAUACAAAAUUAGGUGGCUGAAAAUUGAAGAAAAGGAGACAGAACUACGCGCCGCAAUUGAAGGAGACAGAUGGCGAACACGGGAGAAAGGAAUUCCAAAUUUUCAUGCAUUUAAAAUCAAUCUAUCAUUUUGAGAAAAAUUGGAGAAUUAAUCACGUUCCGUCAAAUUAUCGGUGAUGUCGUUCCCCCUUUAUUUGUUUAAUUUCAACAUUAUGCUUGGAUAAAUUAUUUUGUGCUAGGAAUUGUG